UGAAAAAAAAAAAAAAGUGCAGCUUCCAUAUGUUUGUUUGACAUGUGGCAUGGUAAGGAAAUUUUCUUAACUGAAUGGGUUGUAAAUUCAAUAGAGCGGGAGGGUGUCAAAGUGUCCAUUGAAAUUAUAGACCAAGAUAUCUGUGUUUCUUUUACCAUUAACAUGACAUAGCAUAGUCUAUGUCCAUAAGAUACCGAGAUAAGAAAAGUCCCAUUGUUCUGGAGAGUGUUUGGUCCCAGACAUCUUGGGCUCAGUGAUAACAAACAGAAAGAAUGUUGGUCAGUUCUAACUGGUCCUGGAAAGGGGUGUUUUUGGUUCACUUGAAAAAAAAAAAAGAAUUAGUUCAGGUUUUUGGCCCUUAUUGGGGUUCAAUUGAUUAUACUCACCGAUAUAUGACCCUGUCCCUCUGGAACAUCCCUGUGUUACCGUAAUAGGAUGCAAGUACAUUCAUGGCCACAUAAUAAUAAUAUAGGGAUAACAUCCCCCUAAGGAGGAAAUGUUUAUACACAAUAAUAGGACAAACGUGUAAUGUGAUAGAUGUCUAAUUAAAUAGGAUAGCAAAUUUUGAGAAAAGCAAUAGGAUUAGACUGAUAUGAUUGGCUUCCAAGAUGUAUCUAUUAUAGCAAUCCAAGCUUUAAGCAUGUUUAGGUAGGAAGAUCACAGUUUUGGAUUUUUACACUAAGCCAGAGAAGCAGAGCUCCCUUUUUGAACUGCCUAUGAGUUAAACCGAUUGUACAUGAGCAAGGAACUUAAUAUUAGUUAAUAUAGGUAAUACUGAUUGUAUUGAUUUGUAUGAUUCCUGUCUAAGGUUUUCUUUGUUACCCUGAUUACAUGUAAAUCUCUCUUUUCCAAACUAGUCUAUUGUGAGCUCUCUGAUUGGUUCAAUCUGUACCUGACUUAAUGUAAUUAUGCAAUUUUGCAAAUUAUGAGUAAACUUUGUUGUAUUGUUUGUUUGAACCUAGUCCUGUGUGACUGGGAAAACUGAACUAUCUCUAUGUGCCUUUAACUAAAGACUUAUGAGGGAUUCUGGGAUACUUAGGAAUUUAGUUUCCUUAAUACUACUCUGGAAUUUGUGUUAUUUAAGAACUUUUGCACCAAUUUAGUGAGGUUUUAUGAACAAGAGUAGAAAUGCAUGCAAGCUUUUUAGGGCUCAUUUUGGAAAUGUUCCUUAGGCAAUGUGACAUCUUAGGGUACUAUAGAACUGGGACUUGUGUUCUG
rnacentral:lncRNA from 1 species